AGCGAACGCUGGCGGCAGGCCUAACACAUGCAAGUCGAACGAACUCUUCGGAGUUAGUGGCGGACGGGUGAGUAACACGUGGGAACGUGCCUUUUGGUUCGGAAUAACUCAGGGAAACUUGUGCUAAUACCGAAUGUGCCCUUCGGGGGAAAGAUUUAUCGCCAUUAGAGCGGCCCGCGUCUGAUUAGCUAGUUGGUGAGGUAACGGCUCACCAAGGCGACGAUCAGUAGCUGGUCUGAGAGGAUGACCAGCCACACUGGGACUGAGACACGGCCCAGACCCCGCGGGGGGGAGGCGGGGGGAAUUUUGGGAAAAGGGGGAAAGGCUGACAGAACCCUGCCCGGGGAAAGAAGGAGGUUUUAGGAAUUAAAAAUUUCUUCCCCGGGGGCGAAAAAGAAGGUGACCGGAAAAAAAGCCCCGGGAAAACUCCGUC
rnacentral:rRNA from 1 species